AUUUCUCCUUUUGGAAAAAAAUCAUACAUUAAAGAAUUAAAGAUAAGCCUCCCAUAAACUGAACCCAUAGAAUACAAAUAAGCAAUUCCAUUCUGUUAGAUAUUUGAUGAAAAUUUGAGAAUUUUUAAAUCUAAACAAAAAUAUCUUUAUAAAUUUGUAAAAAUUUUUGUAAACAAAAGAUAUCUGUAAUGUAUUUUCUAUUGUCAAAAUAUUAAUAAAAUUCAUUUUAGUUUUUUUAUUGUAUUCUGUUUUUGCUCCAAACAAAUUAUAUAUAGCAGAAAAGAAUUUGGAGACUUUUGAGUACUUGUGCCAAUUUGAGAAGAAAUUAAAAAGUUUGUUAGCAAAAAAAUUUGUUGUAUUUAUGAAAUUUUUUUCUAAUCAUUCUCAUAGAGAAUGGAGCAUCUAUUGUUGACCAUUCUGUUUUGGAAAAUUGGCACAAAUAAUCAUCCUAGAUUUUCCUAUGGAUGCUCCUGUCAUAAUGUGGCACCUAUGUUUCUUAUGUUGGUAUUUCAUAUUGUAAUGUCAUCUAGAACAAACUAUUGUACAAUAAACAUGCAUCUGUCAAAGUGUGGUGGUCUUUCUAGACAAACUAGUUAUAGCUCAGGGAGAUAGUAGCUUUAUUAAAACAACUAUUUUAGUAUGAUUUAGACCAGCAGUCUCAAACUCAUUCUCUUAAAAGGAUCUCACUUCAGACAUCUUUUAAAAAAAUUGUCAUAAAAG
rnacentral:lncRNA from 1 species